CUCGUAGGCGGUUUGUCGCGUCUGCCGUGAAAGUCCGGGGCUCAACUCCGGAUCUGCGGUGGGUACGGGCAGACUAGAGUGAUGUAGGGGAGACUGGAAUUCCUGGUGUAGCGGUGAAAUGCGCAGAUAUCAGGAGGAACACCGAUGGCGAAGGCAGGUCUCUGGGCAUUAACUGACGCUGAGGAGCGAAAGCAUGGGGAGCGAACA
rnacentral:rRNA from 1 species